GAGCACGUGGAAACGACGAGUAGGGAAAUCAGCUGGAGGAAAGUAAACCAACAGAAAAGGCCAUCAUAUGAUCAUAAAUUUGUAGAGAUGCAGCAUCCUGGGGAGUGCGAGUCAUCAAGCCGGAAUACCAUCAUACUAAGAAGCUUGCUGUAGAAGAUCUUAGAAGAUUAACAGUGAUAUUAAUAAGUUUUAUGAAAGUACAGUUUACCACAUAGAAAAUGGUAGGGCACAGGUUUAUUAAAAGGUAGGAGUAAGAACAAGAACGUGCAUUCCCACAGUUUGUGUAGCUGCGGUCUAGAGGAAACUGAUAUGAGUCAAUAACAGUUCUCUUAGGCAUUGUACAGCUCUAGUGUAGUAAGUUAGCAUCAACUUACCCGUCUAACCGUUCCUGUGUUGCAGCUCGGUUUUUGUUGUAGUUGUGUCUUCAUUUUGUAUAUUUUGUUGUUUAGUAGUGUAACAGAAUUGCAUCUGUUUGUAGUUCUUCCUUUUAGGGAACCUGGAUUCUUGAAAACUGUAGAUUUG
rnacentral:lncRNA from 1 species